GGUUAAGCUAUUAAGGGCGCACGGAGGAUGCCUAGGCGCCAGGAGCCUAAGAAGGACGCGGCGAACAGCGAAAUUGCCUCGGGGAGCCGUAAGCAGGCUUUGAUCCGGGGAUGUCCGAAUGGGGAAACCCGGCUGGGGUCAUGCCCAGUCAUCCCAUGAGUGAAUACAUAGCUCAUGAGAAGGCACACCCAGGGAACUGAAACAUCUAAGUACCUGGAGGAGAAGAAAACAAGAGUGAUUCCGUCAGUAGCGGCGAGCGAAAGCGGAUUAGCCCAAACCUGAGAGCUUGCUCUCAGGGGUUGUGGGACGUCUCACAUGGAGUUACAAAGGAGGCAGGUUAGGCGAAGAGAUCUGGAAAGGUCCGGCAUAGAAGGUAAAAGCCCUGUAGCCGAAAGUCUGCCCCCUCCGAGACGGAUCCCGAGUACCGCGGGACACGAGAAACCCCGUGGGAAUCCGGCAGGACCAUCUGCCAAGGCUAAAUACUCCCUGGCGACCGAUAGUGAAGCAGUACCGUGAGGGAAAGGUGAAAAGCACCGCGGGAGCGGAGUGAAAAAGAACCUGAAACCGUGCGCUUACAAGAAGUCAGAGCCCGAUCUAGGGGUGAUGGCGUGCCUUUUGUAGAAUGAACCGGCGAGUUACGUUUACGUGCGAGGUUAAGUCGGAGAGACGGAGCCGCAGCGAAAGCGAGUCUGAAUAGGGCGCUUUAGUACGUAGUCGUAGACCCGAAACCGGGUGAUCUACCCCUGUGCAGGGUGAAGGUGAGGUAACACUUACUGGAGGCCCGAACUCGUGAGCGUUGAAAAAGCUCUGGGAUGACGUGGGGGUAGGGGAGAAAUUCCAAUCGAACUCGGAGAUAGCUGGUUCUCCCCGAAAUAGCUUUAGGGCUAGCCUCGAGAUUUAGCAUCAUGGAGGUAGAGCACUGAUUGGGUGCGGGGCCCGGCCAAGGGUUACCAAGUCCAGUCAAACUCCGAAUGCCAUGGAUGUAUGCUCGGGAGUCAGACGGCGAGUGCUAAGAUCCGUCGUCAAGAGGGAAAGAGCCCAGAUCAUCAGCUAAGGUCCCCAAGUGUGUGUUAAGUGGGAAAGGAUGUGGAGUUGCGAAGACAACCAGGAUGUUGGCUUAGAAGCAGCCACCAUUUAAAGAGUGCGUAAUAGCUCACUGGUCGAAGUGACUCUGCGCCGAAAAUGUAACGGGGCUAAACACACCACCGAAGCUAUGGCAUGUACCUUAGGGUACUUGGGUAGGGAGCGUUGAAUGCGGGUAGAAGUCGGACCGAGAGGACCGGUGGACUGCAUUCAAGUGAGAAUGCCGGUAUGAGUAACGAAAAGACAGGUGAGAAUCCUGUCCGCCGAAAGCCUAAAGGUUCCUGAGGAAGGUUCGUCCGCUCAGGGUAAGUCGGGACCUAAGGCGAGGCCGAAAGGCGUAGUCGAAGGACAACAGGUUGAAAUUCCUGUACCACCGUAAUCCGUUACGAGCGAUGGGGGGACGCAGGAGGGCAAGAACGCGAGCUGAUGGAUAGCUCGUCCAAGCAGUGAGGGGUGUGUGUAGGCAAAUCCGCACACUAAUACCUUGAGCUGUGAUGGGGAGGGAAAAUUACAGAUACCGAAGGUUCCGUGCUCACGCUGCCGAGAAAAAGCCUCUAGCCAGGAGAAGGUGCCCGUACCACAAACCGACACAGGUAGGCGAGAAGAGAAUUCUAAGGCGCGCGGAAGAACUCUCGUUAAGGAACUCGGCAAAAUGACCCCGUAACUUCGGGAGAAGGGGUGCCUCGGUAGGGUGAAUAGCCCGAGGGGGCCGCAGUGAAUAGGCCCAAGCGACUGUUUCAGCAAAAACACAGGUCUGUGCGAAGCCGUAAGGCGAAGUAUACGGGCUGACGCCUGUCCGGUGCUGGAAGGUUAAGGGGAGCGGUUAGGGGCAACCCGAAGCUGUGAACCGAAGCCCCAGUAAACGGCGGCCGUAACUAUAACGGUCCUAAGGUAGCGAAAUUCCUUGUCAGGUAAAUUCUGACCCGCACGAAUGGCGUAACGACUUGGGCGCUGUCUCAACGAGAGAUCCGGUGAAAUUUUUCUGCAGUACCUGUGAAGAUGGCAGGUUACCCGCGACGUGACGGAAAGACCCCAUGGAGCUUUACUGUAGCUUGAUAUUGAACUUGGGUACGGUCUGUACAGGAUAGGUGGGAGCUGAGGAAGCCGUAGAAGUGCAAACUUAGGUGGAGGGCGCCGUUGGGAUACCACCCUGAUCGGUAUUCUAGGUUCUAACCUGUCACCGUGAAUCCGGUGAAGGGACCGUGUCAGGCGGACAGUUUGACUGGGGCGGUCGCCUCCUGAAAGCGUAACGGAGGCGCCCGAAGGAUCCCUCAGAAUGGUUGGAAAUCAUUCGAAGAGUGCAAAGGCAUAAGGGGAGCUUGGACUGCGAGACCUACAAGUCGAGCAGGGACGAAAGUCGGGCUCAGCUAUUCGGCGGUACCCAAGGGAAGGGCUAUCGCUCGUACCGGAUAAAAGCUACCCUGGGGAUAACAGGCUUAUCUCCCCCAAGAGUCCACAUCGACGGGGAGGUUUGGCACCUCGAUGUCGGCUCGAUCGCAUCCUGGGGCUGAAGUAGGUCCCAAGGGUUGGGCCGUUCCGCCCAUUAAAGCGGUACGCGAGCUGGGUUCAGAACGUCGUGAGACAGUUCGGUCCCUAUCUGUCGCGGGCGUAGGAAAUUUAAGAGGGGCUGUCCUUAGUACGAGAGGACCGGGAUGGACGCACCGCUGGUGUACCAGUUGUUCCGCCAGGAGCAUCGCUGGGUAGCCAAGUGGGGGAGGGAUAAGCGCUGAAAGCAUCUAAGCGCGAAGCCCGCCUCAAGAUGGAGAUUUCCCAGUAUGUAAGACCCCUUGGAGAACACGAGGUUGAUAGGCUCGGGGUGUAAGCACAGCAAUGUGUGUAGCUGACGAGUACUAAUCGGUCGAGGGCU
rnacentral:rRNA from 1 species